CACUCAGGAGUCUGAGGCACGAGAAUCUCUUGAACCCGGGAGGCGGAGGCCGCAGUGAGCCGAGAGCCGAGAUCGCGCCACUGCACGCCAGCCUGGGCGACAGAUCGUCCUCGUUCCUUCGGUUUCAAGGACCCAGGAGUCUUCCAGGAACGCUGGCAUAUCCAGGAGCUGCGAGUCCCGCUCCCGGCAGCCUUCGCAGCCUCCGGUCCCGCCCGAGCUCGCCCGGGCCUCGCGGCUCCCGCCCCGGAGGAGCGCCGCGGAGCAGGGCAAAAACUUGCGGACAGAAAGCCAGGCCAGACCCGACACAAAAGCCCCGGGGCUGAACGAUGCAGACACCCGCGGCCAAGCCGGAAGCCCGCACCAACCCCAGCCCCCACACUACAGGCCACUUAUUUUAUUUUAUUCUUUUUAAAAUGUGGGUUUCUGGUCUAUGCAAUUCACCUCGGUGUGACUCAGGAAGGACACUGGAAGUCCACUGAUCUGGCCAGGACAGAACCACGUGUGUGUUUAGGAAAAGUGGCCUUCUGUUCUCCAUCCCUAGGGGCUCACGGGAUACCCUUAGAACAGACUGGCCACAGGAAUUCCCAGUUAAGGCAGAAGGUUGACAUGAGAUCAGUGUUUCAGGAUUAAGUUCUCACGAAGGGCAGAAAACUGGGAAGCCCAUACUUUUCCACGUUAAUCAAUUGGUUCCAUAAACAUCAUUCCAUUUAUGUUUUUGUGUUUUUUAUUAAUAAUUCCUUUGAGCUUCACUGGGAGAGAUGAGUAUGACUGUGGAGUUCAGUUCUGUAAAGCAUGGGGUGGCUAAGAAAGGGAAGUAACUGGCCCCAGAAUCCCACAGUCACCCAGUGACCUUCAGCCCAAGAAUCUGAUGGCCACUGCUGCACUCCAAGGGAAAGGAGGCCAUCCGGAGAGAAGAGAAUUACAAGAAUAAGAGUGCAGAGAGUGUCCCACAGUCCUGAGAUUCGUACAGAAGCACAGGAGGAAGCAAGUGUCCAAGUAUCCAGAGUCCUGUGAAGUAGGGAUUUCAGUCCUCAAAGCUACCCUCUCCCAUCUGCCAAGUCUUCUGUGGACGUGCGUGGCUGUGUUUCCCUUCCCAUUCCCUUUGGGCAGUGUGCUAUAGGUUUCCAUGUGAGGGCCAGUACUCCUUGCCUCUCAUCUCCCUCUCCAUUUUGCCGCAAAUGCAAGGGACCCCAUACUCGCCCUUGCCCCACCUCUUGCCUCUCCUGGGGACAUUCUUCCUGCUCAGUAGUGGGCCUUGUGAGGACCUGCAGGACAGCCUGAGUGGGAGCUACCCCAAGGGCCCAAGGAGUUCCAGGAACCCCAUCUGCACUCACUCACCUCCCCAUCAAGCGCCCCUGCAUUCUUCCUGCACUGCACUCCAGGUGUUGACAGCUCCUGGGCAGGGUAGCAGGUUCCAGGGAGCCCAGGCUGAAUGGAGCUUGGGAGCUGAGGUCCUCUGCUGGGGAUUCACUGUUCCAAGAGGACAGGAUUCUGCCUUUAUGGGGGAAGGGCUGGAUAGGAACCAGGAGACCAGUUAUAGGCCUGUUGCUAUCAAUCCUGGGACCAGUUAAUUGAUCUGUGUUCAGUACAGGAUAGCAAAAAUGGACUUGACCUUUUCUCUGUGUAACUUUUUUCAGAAACCAUCACGUCCAGCCUUCCUUCCCUGGGCACAGAGGAGACCUGCCUCAGGCGAAGUUCUUCUGUGGAAUUAAAAAGUCUCUUGGGCUCAGCUCUCCCCAGGGGCCUUCAGAACUCACCAAGGAUAGAGCUGCAGACCUCUGGUGGUCAAAUAGGGACUAAAACCGAUUACACCUACAAGUCAAUUGCAAAUCAGUCUUUCUUUCUGUUGCACCUGUGCCCCUCACUUAGUCACCUGUCUUAGAUGGAAGCUUCGGGCCCCUCCUGGGCCCCAACCCUGCGGUCCCCAGGUUCGCGGUUUUUCACGUCUAAUCUCAAUUGGCCCCUUCCCCACACACCGUGUUUGACCACCCAGUUCACAGAACGCCCCGGGCUUCCUAGUGGGCCAGGUCCUCCUUAGAGAGGCAAGAAGGUGGAGAGGGAGCGUGGACGCCGAGCGCCCGCUGGGCAAACCCGAAUCUGGGGCCUGACCUAGCCGGUAGCCGGUGACGGGGCCGGUGGUGGCUUGGAGACUCCUCUCUGGUCCUCUGCUCUUGGCCCCAGCCCCGCGCUCACAGCCACCUCCUGAAGCCGCCAGUGCUGCGUCCUCUUGGCCACGUAGGGGAAGAGCGGACUGGACGGAAGCAGCGGACUCUGGGCGCUGUCAAGGUCACUGUUGUGAAAAGCCGGGAGACCAGAUGUGGACACAGGGAGGCCUGGACCCGAGGCGCGGCUGGCCAGAGGCCUCGUGUCUGCCCCUCUUCACAGCUUCCAGGGAAGCUCCCCGCGUAUCCUCAAAGCAGAGAGCGGUUUCCAAACGGACCCCCACAGCGCCCGAUUGGGCCAUCCCGCCCCAGGCUGGAGGGUGGGUGCUCAUGGGGUCGCCAGUCACCAAGGGCCCCAUCUGAGCGCACCCGGUCCCUCCUCCAGGCUCGCCUGGGCCUCGAGGGCGGCGAACAGCUCGGCUUUGAAGAAGGCUCCGGCCGGCGCUGCCCAAGUCGGGCAGCCUUCCUGGCCCACCCGGGAGUUGAGUUUCAAGGCUUCCCGGAGAGGCCAGCCCAGAUUCGCAGCGGAGAGUUUCUCAGGCCACAAACCUCGGAGAGAAGCAGCCGUGGUUCCCUGUGCCCUGGGCCACCGCUGGGCGGGGCAGGAAGCCUCCCUGGCGUUUCCUCGCGGGCGCGACUACGAGCCGCGGAAACCAGUGGCCGCUCCACACUAUUUAAGCUGAGGAGAUUUCUCCCUCUGCGCUGAGGAUCUCACUGUGCACCUCCAGCCCUGGGUCCUGGUGGGCUCUGGUGGCCACUGGAGUCUUUGGAACUGCCUCCCUCUGGCUCUGCUGGGGUUGGAUUCGGGCAUCGAUGUCACACCCAGCAGGAACAACUGGGGCCACUGGAGGAUUCCCAAGGACACAGGUUGUCCUUUUCAUGCAGGAAGAAUCUGAAUCGUUUCCAUCCAGUUUCCCCGGCAUGCAGCAGAAUACAACACAAGGGGCUGCGGUCUUCUCUGACUCUUAAGGCCCUUGGAAGAUCCUGUUCUGCCAAAAUCAGGGUGAUUUGGGCAAGCAUCCUUAGGGCUCUGGACCUUAGUUUCUUUCCCUGGUUGAUUGAUUGACCAUAUAGGUGUCCUAACUCACAUAGUUGAAAAUCAGAUGUGGUGAAAGUGCAUUGAGACCAGAAACAAUGUUAUUGUCCUGAAAUGCAUGCCCAGAGAGCACUGAAUAAAUUUUUAAAACACCUGAC
rnacentral:lncRNA from 10 species